rnacentral:rRNA from 1 species
UACGUAGGGGGCAAGCGUUGUCCGGAUUCAUUGGGCGUAAAGAGCGUGUAGGCGGCCAGGCAGGUCCGCUGUGAAAACUCGAGGCUCAACCUCGAGAUGUCGGUGGAAACCGUCUGGCUAGAGUCCGGAAGAGGAGAGUGGAAUUCCCGGUGUAGCGGUGAAAUGCGCAGAUAUCAGGAGGAACACCGGUGGCGAAGGCGGAUCUCUGGGCCUUACCUGACGCUGAGGAGCGAAAGCAUGGGGAGCAAACAGG